rnacentral:rRNA from 1 species
AUAUUGGACAAUGGGCGAAAGCCUGAUCCAGCAAUACCGCGUGAGUGAUGAAGGCCUUAGGGUUGUAAAACUCUUUCAGUAGGGAAGAUAAUGACGGUACCUACAGAAGAAGCACCGGCUAACUCCGUGCCAGCAGCCGCGGUAAUACGGAGGGUGCUAGCGUUGUUCGGAAUUACUGGGCGUAAAGAGUGCGUAGGCGGUUUAGUAAGUUGGGAGUGAAAUCCCGGGGCUCAACCUCGGAAUUGCUUUCAAAACUGCUAAGCUAGAGUAUGGUAGGGGCUAGUAGAAUUCCUAGUGUAGGGGUGAAAUCCGUAGAUAUUAGGAGGAAUACCAGAGGCGAAGGCGACUAGCUGGGCCAUUACUGACGCUAAGGUACGAAAGCGUGGGGAGCAAACAGG